CCUACGGGGGACUGCAGUGAGGAAUAUUGGUCAAUGGACGAGAGUCUGAACCAGCCAAGUAGCGUGAAGGAUGACUGCCCUAUGGGUUGUAAACUUCUUUUAUAAAGGAAUAAAACGAGGCACGUGUGCCUUUUUGCAUGUACUUUAUGAAUAAGGAUCGGCUAACUCCGUGCCAGCAGCCGCGGUAAUACGGAGGAUCCGAGCGUUAUCCGGAUUUAUUGGGUUUAAAGGGAGCGUAGAUGGGUUGUUAAGUCAGUUGUGAAAGUUUGCGGCUCAACCGUAAAAUUGCAAUUGAUACUGGCAGUCUAGAGUACAGUUGAGGUAGGCGGAAUUCGUGGUGUAGCGGUGAAAUGCUUAGAUAUCACGAAGAACCCCGAUUGCGAAGGCAGCUUACUAAACUGUGACUGACAUUGAUGCUCGAAAGUGUGGGUAUCAAACAGGAUUAGAUACCCCUGUAGUC
rnacentral:rRNA from 1 species